UACGUAGGAUGCAAGCGUUAUCCGGAUUUACUGGGUGUAAAGGGAGCGCAGGCGGGACUGCAAGUUGGAUGUGAAAUACCGUGGCUUAACCACGGAACUGCAUCCAAAACUGUAGUUCUUGAGUGAAGUAGAGGCAAGCGGAAUUCCGAGUGUAGCGGUGAAAUGCGUAGAUAUUCGGAGGAACACCAGUGGCGAAGGCGGCUUGCUGGGCUUUAACUGACGCUGAGGCUCGAAAGUGUGGGGAGCAAACAGGAUUAGAUACCCUGGUAGUCCACACUGUAAACGAUGAUAGCUAGGUGUGGGGGGUCUGACCCCUUCCGUGCCGGAGUUAACGCAAUAAGCUAUCCACCUGGGGAGUACGACCGCAAGGUUGAA
rnacentral:rRNA from 1 species